ensembl:snRNA U2 U2 spliceosomal RNA
ACCGCUUCUCAGCCUUUUGGCUAAGAUCAAGUGUAGUAUCUGUUGAGAAGCUGUGUUCCCAUUAGGGAAGAGCUGCCGACCUUUUUGUCAGGGGCUUCGCACAUGCUUAUUAUGCCUAAUCAUGCUCUACAUUUUUAUUUUUUGAAACUGCACCAGCUGCCAGCUGGAGCCUGAAGAAGGCAAUUAAUGGCAUUGCACCCAUACAUUUCUGCACCCUUU